rnacentral:lncRNA from 1 species
GUCGUCUAUGCACUAUAAAACUAUAUACACCAAAACGUUAGCUAAUACAUCUUCAUUUUGCCCAAAGGCACUAUACCGUUGUAGUAAUUCUUUUUAUUAUUGUUAUUUUUUUUCACAUUAAUGUUGAAGUUCCUUAUUGUAACAUCCCGACAUUUUUUUUGCAAGUAGUGAAUUGAUUAAUCUUAAGCACAAAAAUAAAUUAGGCAGUUUUUUUUUUAUAUAUAGACAUUCUACAAAUGUAUCUUCUAUGGGCACAUAUAGGCAUAAUCAUAGGUAUUGCGCAGCACAUGACAUGCAGAGAAAAAUGUAAUCUAAACUUUAGUUGACAAAUAAAUUUUUUGCUCUAGUGCUAACCAGGUGCAUAUAAACACAGUCAUGACUAAGCUAGCUCAAACGCAUACAAAUGUGCCCAUGUGGAACUGAAGAGGAGACAAUGAGGACAAAUUGGCCAUCACUGGGGUGUGUCUGGGCGUACUCGACAUACCACUUGCGAACACCUAUAGACCCAAUCUUUGUGUAAUUAUUUUUUUGUACAGAUUUUAUUCAGUCUGCUCACAGUGCAAUAUAUAACUGUUUACAUUUUUCUACGAGUGAAAAGACGGCAGUUUUUCUUUAAGGUAAGCACGAAACCAUAAUGGUGUAUUCAGUAUACUGUAAAAUGUUGAAUACACACAACAGGAUUGCAAACAUAAAAAAAUAAAAUAAAAAAUCCAAAUUGGACAAAUAAUAAGUAUUCGUUUCCAUUUUGGCCCUGAAAUUUUUAAAUCCCUUGUCAUGUCACCCAAUUUUCAACUAUUUCAUUUGCCACGGGUUAUCUGACAAUGGAAGACUUAAUGACUAUAUUUGCCCACAUCAAUAAAAAACACAACUACAAGUAUACACUUUGUUGGGCUUCUAGCUAGAUGUACGGCAGAAUAUUUGUAUUUAUAACAUUCCUGUACAUAUUUGAAAUAUGGCUAUGCUAUGUACUAAUUAGAUUGAUGUAAAGGCAGAACCAUGAGUAUCGCUGUCUGCGCUGCUAAUUGUGUUUACAUUCUUCUGAGCAAAGUAAUGUCAUCAGAAAAAUCCUUUGGGAUUAUUCUAGCAACAUACAUGUAUGUACAUAACAGGGGCAUCUAUAACGUGUUGAACUCUUAUGUAAAUUAAGGAAUGGCACUUUAAAAAAGGCAACCAGUUAUCUCUCAACAAGAGUCUCACUAAUUCUAUUUAAACUGGCUUGCUAGCUGGCUGGCAUUGUAUCUUGCUGACAAGUAUUUUUUAACAAUAUUGCAAAGGCAUGCUGAGAUUAGACCCAGUAAACAGACAAAUCUACAAAUCUGCUCAAGGGCUCCCCCUAUCUAACUGAUAUCUACAGUACAAGUGGGUUUGUUCAUUAAAUAGUGACUUGUGGAGAAAUGAAUGCCUAAUUUGCACAGAUUAGGCCUUAAUUGUCAAAUCGCGAAUACAGAUGAGUGCUGAUUUUUCAUCCUACUUUAUUUCCAAUCUAAAUGUUACUUUUUUUUUUUUUUAACUAACAACAAUAAACCCUUUUAUCAAAUAAACCCACAUUAAACAUAUUACAAGGCAUUGAUUACAGACAAAGACAUUAAUGAAUUGAACUUUACUAAAACACUUGAGAGGGAUGGAUCAGACUGUAUUUUCUGUAUUAUCAUAUAGCUACCAUUGAUCCCAAAUAACUCUGUAGCUCCUCGGAUUAAUCUUCUCUCUAGCACUCAGCACUAGUUAUUUAUCUAUUUUUACAACUAUACUUAGUACCUCUUGACCUCCAUAAAUUUAGCUUGGCUGUCUACUGUAUCACAUCUACAAAGGGAAUGGUCUAAGUCUGGCAUUUCCAUAGCAAAGGAAUGGAGAUAGAUAGAUGGAUAGAUUCACACACACACAUCUAUCUAUCUAUCUAUCCAGCCAUCCAUCUAUCUAUCCAUACGUUUUAUUCUCUAGAUGCUGUAUAGUUCAGUAAUCUAGCAAUAUAUCAUGUAACCACACCUUGUUAUUUUGAUGUAUUUAUUAUGCAGGAAGCCUGUGUUACUGUAGAAUUGAUCAACAGCCAUGAGUAAGAUCAUACAGUGAGGGUGCUAGCAGAGUUACGCCAAGCAGACACCCCCUAUAUUUAUAUUAUUGCAUGUGUCACUGAGCGGUCCUAUAAGCCACUACAGCAGUAAUUGGAGCUACUCGAUCACUCCCCAUUCGCGAUCUGCUAUCAGGUCCCAUUAUCUGGUCCUCAACCAGAUACACUAUCAAAGGCAGGAGCGAUUGCAAGCAUCACAGGUUAAAUAAGAACACAAGGCACAGAAGAAAAACACAAGCACACGAGGAAAAAAAAGUGAUGAAAAGACACAACUCACCUUAACAGGGGGUGUUGGAUGGGGUCAGAGAGAAGGAAGGGUUGGUGGAUUGGUGUUGUGUUUUUUUUGUUUUUUUUAGCAGAGGUUUGGUGAGAUUAAUAAAAACACACAAGACACAGGGGGUCGAAAGCAAGGAGGAAGAUAGUAAAAAAAACGGAGAAGGAGGGUAGCAGUUUACUGUAGGUGGGGUGAGGAGGCAAAACGAAGUCUGUCACUAAGAAUAAUCCCAAUUCAAAGUGGAAAAUAUCAAUAGCUGUUCCUUGCUGGAGAAGACACUAGUGCAGUCCGCAGUGUGAUCCCCAACGUUCUAUGAGAUGCUUCAGGGUGUUCUCGGUUUACAGUGCAGGUAAUCCCGGGCAGCUGGGCCAAUUAUUGCUGAUCUUCUUAGACUUGGUAUUCAGGCUGAAUGUGAUCCUGAGGCUGGAGCUCAAUGUGUGCAUUCCUGAUGCUGGGAUCCUUCCUGUACAGGCUGUGUGUGACUGUAUCUCUGCCUGUACCUUUACUGCUUGCAGAGCUCUCCGGGUCCCCCUUGUGCAUUAAAGCUGCAGCUCAGUGCAUAUUGGAAAAAAAAAAACACAGAGGAGGCACACUUUACAGAGAGGGGCUGUAAC